GACGAACGCUGGCGGCGUGCUUAACACAUGCAAGCCGAACGGUAAGGCCCUUCGGGGUACACGAGUGGCGAACGGGUGAGUAACACGUGGGUGAUCUGCCCUGCACUUCGGGAUAAGCCUGGGAAACUGGGUCUAAUACCGGAUAGGACCACUGCCUGCAUGGGGGGUGGUGGAAAGCUUUUGCGGUGUGGGAUGGGCCCGCGGCCUAUCAGCUUGUUGGGGGGGUGAUGGCCUACCAAGGCGACGACGGGUAGCCGGCCUGAGAGGGUGACCGGCCACACUGGGACUGAGAUACGGCCCAGACUCCUACGGGAGGCAGCAGUGGGGAAUAUUGCACAAUGGGCGCAAGCCUGAUGCAGCGACGCCGCGUGAGGGAUGACGGCCUUCGGGUUGUAAACCUCUUUCAGCACCGACGAAGCGCAAGUGACGGUAGGUGCAGAAGAAGGACCGGCCAACUACGUGCCAGCCGCCGCCGUAA
rnacentral:rRNA from 1 species